CCUACGGGAGGCAGCAGUGGGGAAUAUUGGACAAUGGGCGAAAGCCUGAUCCAGCAAUGCCGCGUGAGUGAUGAAGGCCUUAGGGUUGUAAAGCUCUUUUACCAGGGAUGAUAAUGACAGUACCUGAGAAAAGCUCCGGCUAA
rnacentral:rRNA from 1 species